rnacentral:lncRNA from 1 species
GUGUUUUGUUUUUUUUUUUUUUUUUUUUUUUUUUGAAUGUGCCGCCACAUCCACACUUUUCGGUGUUGGAACAAAGAAACGCGUGGACGGCUAAAAACAGUCGAGGUGAGAAUUUUAAGCGAGGACGUGGCGCCACUUUUUGAAAACGUGUCGGAAAGGGCCGCUUUGUUUCCAUCGGCGUUUCCUCCACUGUUUUUGAUCGUUACCGUUCUUUGGCAAAACUCCAAACUGUUUCUGGUAUCGGCCGUCGGUCGGGCCGCUUUAUCCACUUUCUGCGCGUUUCUACGCUUAGGGCCUCAUUUUUACGUCCAAAUCGAGCCGCGUUAAACAGGGAAUCUUUUCUCGGGAAGCCCCAAAAAGCCCAGUCAUCGUGGAGAUCCCGCUAUCCGCGCAGUACUAUUUUACCCCCCUGUACAAAUUAAAUUUACUCUUCCAGAAAUAAAAAUCGAUGGAAACUUUGGCCUUCAACCCUGUGUAGUUAAUUUGUAUGGUGCUAAAUUCUCACUAAACUGGGAAGGUCGACAUCAAAAUAUAUAGGUUAUAUUAUAGAAAGUUAGUUACUAGGUUCUUUCUUCUCCGACGUAAUUUCCGUAUCGAUCCGAGCGAUUAUGUCGGAAAUUGACCAAGUCCAUUAUUCCGGAAUAAUAGAAUGAUGUUUUCGGAAUAUAAUGGGGCAUUAACCAGUUGUCCACCCUCGGUCACCCUUCCGUGAGCACUGGUAAGGUCGCCGAGCUCGACCGAAUUGAGAAGAAAAGAGAGGAAGCCCUUCCGAAAACUGGUAAUUCCUCGCAUGGAUAAUAAAUAUCUAGACAAGUUUUCAGUUGGUUCGGGUUUCCUGCCCGGUCGGAAAUGGUCAGAAAGUUGCAGGACGACGGAAAAAUCGUGUACCACUAUAUAUAUGGGCGUCCCCGAGAUAGUCAGCGCGUUAAUUUAUGGUAAAGACACUUCGUAAUCCGCCACGCGCGUUUAAAGAAAGUGUUGCCAGACGGAAUUUGAUUUAUGAGACUGCCAACAACCCUCUGGCGGGAUAAGAUUUUUUCCCAAGAAAAUUUCCAAUUUAUUACCUCCGACUGAAACCAUACCAUGUAAGUUCGGUCGUAUAACGUAGUUACAUUUAUCCAAUUUGCCUAAAAAGGUGUACUUUCGUGUAUUUACGAAAUAGGGAAUGUUACGGGCCGGUGUUUUUAUCAGGAAUCGAUGGUGUUUGUUGUAAAAAACAAGAAAAGAAAGUGCAGUCGAUGUUAUGGCCGGUAACAUUAACUCCGAGAGCUACAACACUUUUUCAAUUGCCCAAAGGUCAGACAGAUAUUAGUCGUUAGCUCUUCUUUCUUUUUUCCCUCUCCUGUAGACUCUCUCGCUCUUCUCCUCCUCCUCCUUCUCCUUCUUCCAAUCUUCCGAAGUUGCGUAAUUGCUAAAAUUUAUAGUCGAAUUCCGGGAGGAUACCACGGCAGUAAAGUACCAGUCGAAAGUCGUCCACUUUUUAUUUUUCCCAAAUUCCUGACGUGUAACGUAGCAGAAAAAUAAAGCAAAAUUUGCGUAUUUACGAGACUGGAGACGGGAACAGAGUUUCGGUUGCAUAUAAAAGGACGAGUCGAUUACCGGAUCGGGUUAUCGGGAGUCAUUCGGACGGAGCCCUUUUACCUCCUAAAUGCCUUCGACCCUAUCUGACGCUAUUGUGUCACCUACAACGGCGGAACCGACGCCGGAAGCGCAGAAUCCCGGUCGGAUAUGCCGAUGGCGACGAGAAUGACGCAUCAUGAUGACGCGUUUCUUCUUUUCCAGUGACGCGGCCACCCAACACGACGUCGUUAUCGACAACGGCGCGUGUCACAAGGUUUGCCACUAGCGACGUCGCAAGGUCGGUCGUAUACGUACGCGCUCAGACAAUGUAAAGGCAUCUUUCAUCUCCAUUUUUUUUUUCAACUAAAAAAAAGGGCGCGAGAAAUUCGAACCCAAUACAUUUUUUGGAAUAGAACGAAUAUCGAUUGUCGGCUCGACUCUACUUUCGAAAAUGUUAUUCUUAUUAGAUUUACUUCAUAAAAGAUUUACCGGAGUUCGAGCGGAAGACUAAAAUUAGACUGCGCAUCACUGUAUCCUCCCCAUUCACCGGACGGAAGAUAGACGAGGUACAAAAUUCCCUUUUCUAGUCGCGUUAUUAAAUCAGAGCUAGAGAUAUUCGGAAAUAAUCAAUGAUUUGAUUUACAAAAGAAUGUUUCCCGAGUCGAAAUGUCAAUAUUUGAUUCUGGGUAAACGACCAAAAAGCUUGUUUCUUGGCUUUUCACAACUUCUUCUGAAUUAAACAUUAUUUUUUACUGAUUUCUUUUCGAAUGAAUAUCAAUUUUUUUCUUUUAUUUUUUCAAAAAAAUAAAAAAAAUAUUCCGAUAUACAGAAAUUCUCUAUUACAUAAAAUAUCUAUCACUCUAAAUCCGACUUAACGCCACGGGGCCCACACGUAUUCUGAAUUAAACAUUUUUUUUUUUUUUUUUUACUCUUUCGUCGUGAAUUUUUAGAUCAGUUUAGACGAGCCAAUCUUAGAUUAAACGUCAUUCUUGUUAUAUAACACUGAUUAAUGAAAAUUAUCUUAGCCGUCCACAAAAAAUUCAAAAUUUUUCGCUAAAAAAAAAUAAUAAGGAAGAGCGCGCGUCAAACGCGAAGCGAAGGAAGAAGAAAAAAAAAAUUUUUUUUCCAAGUCAAAGCAAAAUUCCACGUAAUUAAUUAUCUAAAAUUAUUACCCGAGGUAGAAUUUUGAUAAUUGUAAAAUUAAAUUUAAGGAUAACCCGUGAAAUCCCCAGACUAUCCGAACCGUCUUCUUAUUUGGCUCAUCAAUCAAUGACUUCCCUCCCCCUGUCUUUCCACACUUCUCCCUCAUUUCAGAUCCGAAUAGUGUUGCCAGCUGUCGGAUAAUUAUUAUGACCAAUAAUUUUGUUUAAUUUAAUAAAGGGGAGGACCCCCGAUAGCCGCUUACGGAAACUAGUCGGAAUUGAUGGCUCAGUCUGCGGUUUUAAAAAUUAAAUUGUUGCCAAUCUCCACAGGUUGAUAAUUAUUUAAAAUUACCAGUCGGACCCGUUCAUUUGUCUGCCUGUCGUAUUUUGCGCCGAAUUCAUUAUUUACGUUCUCCAUUGGCAUUCAGUCUUUACUCCUCCUACUCCAAUUAGCCGUAUUAUGGAACUUACAAGUUGGAAAAUUAUCGUUGUAGGGAUCUCACUCUCUCCCGACUGUAAAAAGAAAGCAAUAAAUUUAAACCGAAAAUUAAGCUUUAUUUAAAAAAAAAAAAAAUAGUCAAAAUUCCUGCCACGUGUCUCCAGUUCUCGGCUUUAAUGUCUAUAAAGGAGGAACCGAGAUGA